rnacentral:rRNA from 1 species
GAUUCUGGCUCAGGAUGAACGCUAGCGACAGGCUUAACACAUGCAAGUCGAGGGGCAGCAUAAAAGUAGCAAUACUUGGUGGCGACCGGCGCACGGGUGAGUAACGCGUAUGCAACCUACCUAUCAGAGGGGAAUAACCCGGCGAAAGUCGGACUAAUACCGCAUAAAACAGGGGCACCGCAUGGUGAUAUUUGUUAAAGAAAUUCGCUGAUAGAUGGGCAUGCGUUCCAUUAGGUAGUUGGUGAGGUAACGGCUCACCAAGCCGACGAUGGAUAGGGGAACUGAGAGGUUGGUCCCCCACACUGGUACUGAGACACGGACCAGACUCCUACGGGAGGCAGCAGUGAGGAAUAUUGGUCAAUGGGCGGGAGCCUGAACCAGCCAAGUCGCGUGAAGGAAGAAGGAUCUAUGGUUCGUAAACUUCUUUUGCAGGGGAAUAAAGUGCAGGACGUGUCCUGUUUUGUAUGUACCCUGAGAAUAAGGAUCGGCUAACUCCGUGCCAGCAGCCGC